CUCCACUCCUGAAUGGCUGUUAGAUGUAAUGUAAACGCACAGCUUCCCUGCCUCACUGGUCGAAGCUCAUCACGAGCCUGGUGAGACCAGAAGAAAAAUGCCAGAACAAAAUAGUGAAGAAGUAUUUCUUUCUUCAGAAAUGUCUGCUCGCAACAGACUGGCUGGAAGGACACUGCUUGUCCAGAGUGCCGUGGUGGUCACAGUUUGUGUCCUAUUCUUCAAGAACCUUUGGCUUUAUAGAAAACCCUCCAUCUUCUUGAGCUCCGCAGGCUCCAUGAUUAAUGAACUGAAGAAUUGGACAGGGUGUCUGAGAAAAUUCCAGCAGGAUAUGGCAAAAUAUUCUGCACAGUUCUGUUGCCCUUGUGUCAUAUAGAUGGGUUAGAAACAAAAAUGUAUUUAAUGUCCUAAUAAAACUGCAGCUCCAGAGUGCAUAAGAUGUUACAGAGAA